rnacentral:rRNA from 1 species
UGGGGAAUAUUGGACAAUGGGCGCAAGCCUGAUCCAGCCAUGCCGCGUGAGUGAUGACGGCCUGGUUGUAAAGCUCUUUGUCCGGGAAGAUAAUGACUGUACCGGAAGAAUAAGCCCCGGCAACUUCGUGCC